UACGUAGGGUGCGAGCGUUGUCCGGAAUUAUUGGGCGUAAAGGGCUCGUAGGCGGUCUGUUGCGUCGGGAGUGAAAACUCAGGGCUUAACCCUGAGCCUGCUUCCGAUACGGGCAGACUAGAGGUAUGCAGGGGAGAACGGAAUUCCUGGUGUAGCGGUGAAAUGCGCAGAUAUCAGGAGGAACACCGGUGGCGAAGGCGGUUCUCUGGGCAUUACCUGACGCUGAGGAGCGAAGGCCAGGGGAGCAAACGGG
rnacentral:rRNA from 1 species